rnacentral:rRNA from 1 species
ACCUUACCAGGUCUUGACAUCCUUUGACCAUCCUAGAGAUAGGAUUUUCCCUUCGGGGACAAAGUGACAGGUGGUGCAUGGUUGUCGUCAGCUCGUGUCGUGAGAUGUUGGGUUAAGUCCCGCAACGAGCGCAACCCUUAUUGUUAGUUGCCAUCAUUCAGUUGGGCACUCUAGCGAGACUGCCGCAGACAAUGCGGAGGAAGGUGGGGAUGACGUCAAAUCAUCAUGCCCCUUAUGACCUGGGCUACACACGUGCUACAAUGGAGAGUACAACGAGUCGCAAAGCCGCGAGGCUAAGCCAAUCUCUUAAAGCUCUUCUCAGUUCGGAUUGUAGGCUGCAACUCGCCUACAUGAAGCCGGAAUCGCUAGUAAUCGCGGAUCAGCACGCCGCGGUG